rnacentral:rRNA from 1 species
CCUACGGGUGGCAGCAGUGGGGAAUAUUGGUCAAUGGGCGAAACCCUGAACCAGCAAAGCCGCGUGGAGGAUGAAGGCUUUAGGAUUGUAAACUUCUUUUGUGAGAGAAGAUAAUGACGGUAUCUCACGAAUAAGCACCGGAUAACUCCGUGCCAGACGCCCCGGUAAUACGGAGGGAGCACGCGUUAUUCGGAAUAACUGGGCGUAAAGCGGGCGUAGGCGGGAUUGUAAGUGAGAUGUGAAAUCCUGUAGCUUAACUACAGAACUGCAUUUGAAACUGUGAGUCUAGAGUGUGGGAGAGGUAGGUGGAAUUCGUGGUGUAGCGGUGAAAUGCGUAGAUAUCAAGAGGAACACUGAUUGCGAAGGCGAUCUGCUGGAACGGAACUGACGCUGAUGCACGAAAGCGUGGGUAGCAAACAGGAUUAGAUACCCGAGUAGUC